rnacentral:rRNA from 1 species
CUACGGGGCGCAGCAGUCGAGAAUUUUUCACAAUGGGGGAAACCCUGAUGGAGCGACGCCGCGUGGAGGAUGAAGGUUUUCGGAUUGUAAACUCCUGUCAAAUGGGAACAAGAAAGUGAUAGUACCAUUAGGGGAAGAGACGGCUAACUCUGUGCCAGCAGCCGCGGUAAUACAGAGGUCUCAAGCGUUGUUCGGAUUCAUUGGGCGUAAAGGGUGCGCAGGCUGUGGGGUAAGUCGGAUGUGAAAUUUAGGGGCUCAACCUCUAAACUGCAUUCGAUACUGCUCCGCUAGAGGUAUGUAGAGGAGAUUGGAAUUCACGGUGUAGCAGUGAAAUGCGUAGAUAUCGUGAGGAAGACCAGUGGCGAAGGCGAAUCUCUGGGCAUUACCUGACGCUCAUGCACGAAGGCCAGGGGAGCAAACGGGAUUAGAUACCCGGGUAGUC